ACUAAUGGCGGAAAUUGCAGAGCUCCAAAAAUAAAGAGGAAUUAUUAUCCAAGGGACAACCAACUGAUGGCGGAAAUUGUGGAUUAAACGAUCUGUCAAAUCUCUCAACUGAGAUUUUGUCAGCACCAUGGAUGAUCUUGCAGAGAUCAAGCUGGAUAUUGACAGAAAACUAGAAAGGGAAGAGAACAAUCUCUUUAUGCUGAGAGAAUCUCUCAAAAAGAGUUCCACUAAUACACAGAACAUGCUUGGAAUUUUGACCAGUUUUGAAAGUCGCCUGCAGAGGCUGGAAGAUACAAUUGUUCCUGUGUAUAAAGAAACAGAAAACCUUAGAAGAAGACAAGAAAAUAUUGACAAGACUCUACAGACGAUGGAUGUGGUGCUGGGAUACUACCAUGUUGCGAAGGAUGUGGAAGAGGUCAUCAAAGAAGGACCUGCAUCCUGUGAUCUGGAUAUUUACAUUUCAUACAUGGACAAACUACUGAAGGCCAUAAGAUAUUUCACAUCUACCAACCCGGCCGGGAAUGAAAUAGAGGAAUUGAACCAUAUCUUUGAUGAUGGAAAAUGUGCACUUCAGCUUGAGUUUCGUUCUCUUCUCAAUCGUCAUGGACGACCAGUGCCUCCUAUAGUCAUCAUGGAUCAGUUACAGAUGGAUGACGAAAUACCCCCUGCUGGUUUGGAAACCGAUUCAUUUAUAAUGGAGCACUUCUCAGAAAAAGUGGUCUCCCAGUUGCGCUACAUAUCUCGGUGGCUGGUUGCUAACGGCACUUCAGCUGAAUUUUGUAAAUCCUACCACACAUCAAGGAUGGCAAUACUGACUCGAUCUCUUCAAGGGUUGAAAGAACACCUGAAAACAUCGAGUGCAAGUAGUGGCAGUAAAAACUUCCAGGGAUCCGCGUCGCCAGCUCUGGGUAUUAACAUGCGACCAACGAAAGAAAAUCCUGUCCGAAAGAGCAUGAAAAAAAUUGGAUAUAAAUCAUUGAAGAAAAGUGCAUCUUCACUAAUGAAGUUGCCCUUUGAACCAGGUCAUAAACGUCGAGGAUCGUUUACAGAGAUCAUAACGGAAGAACUAAUUGACGUGGAAACAGAUCUGUACAUCACCAUGCUCACAGCAUUGCUUAGACUAAUGCAGAGUGAGUCCCAUCUGAUGAGUGGAAUCAUUCCAGAGAAACAUCAAAGGAUGGUAUUUGAUAACAUAGUACAACAGUCACUCGAAACGGUCGUCAGUGAAGGAGAGCUCCUGGCCAUGUCAGCUCGUAAAAACAUUGGUCGCCAUGAAUUUGGAGCUGUUUUGUCUAUAUUUCCCAUUGUCAAGCACCUUCGACAGAUCAAACCUGAAUUUGAUUUGAUUUUAGAGGGUUGCCAGGCACCAACAAGAGCGAAAUUGGCAUCCCUUCUUUCCACCCUAGACAGCACAGGAGCAAAGGCACUUGAAGAAUUUAUAGAUAGUGUUCGACAAGAUCCUGAUAAAGCAUCAAAUAUGCCAAGAGAUGGAACUGUGCAUGAGCUCACAAACCAUACUAUUAUAUUCCUACAGCAGCUCCAAGAUUUUGCAGAGACUGCAGGAGCCAUGUUGCUCAUGCAUGGUGAGCAAGCUGCCCCAUCACAAGAUAUCACUUUUGAGAAGUGCAGAAUGAAAGUUGCCGACUAUAUGACACGUGUAUUGUCUGCGCUGGGUUUGAACCUGGCAAACAAGGCUGAGACGUACAGUGAUCCCGCUCUCAAGCCGAUAUUCAUACUCAACAACUGCAACUACAUCCUCAAGUCACUUAAGAACUCAGGAUUGAUCCAUGUGUUAAGAGAAUGGAAUCCUAAAGUUGAAGAAUACUAUGAGAUACAGAUAGUUGAACAAAAACGAAUCUACUCAGAGAGUUGGAAUAAAGUCCUUCACUUCAUAAUGGAAGUAGACAAGCCGAUAUCAUUACAGAGAACACAGGGCGAUGUGAUAAAGAGAAAGGAUGGACAACAUUUAGGAGCUGAGAUUGAGGCAGUCAAUAAACUCAGUGCAAGUUCUUCGCACGAACUAGUUGCUAAAUCUGUAAUAUCGAAAUGGAAGAAUUUUGUUCAGGAAAAACAUGCACAAGAUACAUGUAUACCUGUUAUACGGGUAGUUGAUGAGGAUGAUAUAGAGGCAUCAAUUGCUGGCAACUAUUUUGAUGGUUGGUUAUGUGCUCAAAAUACCGGGAAGUUCAGGAAAGGAUGUAGUUGCUAGAUCUGUAAUAUCGAAAUGGAAGGGUCUUGUUGAGAAACGCGAACACAUUAUACAGCUAAAAGAAAAGGAAAAGCAGAAUAUCAAAGAUAAAUUCACGGGUUUUAACAAAGAGCUGGAAGAAAUCUAUCGCAUCCAGAAGGGUUACGCCAUUCCUGAUCCAGAACUAAGGCACUCC
rnacentral:misc_RNA from 1 species